rnacentral:rRNA from 1 species
CCUACGGGUGGCAGCAGUGAGGAAUAUUGGUCAAUGGACGAGAGUCUGAACCAGCCAAGUAGCGUGAAGGAUGACUGCCCUAUGGGUUGUAAACUUCUUUUAUAUGGGAAUAAAAUGUUUCACGUGUGGGUUUUUGUAUGUACCAUAUGAAUAAGGAUCGGCUAACUCCGUGCCAGCAGCCGCGGUAAUACGGAGGAUCCGAGCGUUAUCCGGAUUUAUUGGGUUUAAAGGGAGGGGAGGUGGAUUGUUAAGUCAAUGGGGAAAGUUUGGGGCUAAACCGUAAAAUUGCAGUUGAAACUGGCAGUCUUGAGUACAGUAGAGGUAGGCGGAAUUCGUGGUGUAGCGGUGAAAUGCUUAGAUAUCACGAAGAACUCCGAUUGCGAAGGCAGCUCACUGGACUGCAACUGACACUGAGGCUCGAAAGUGUGGGUAUCGAACAGGAUUAGAUACCCUUGUAGUC